UUCUUUUGCCAGCACCAUUAAAUGUCGAGUUGAAGGGAAACACAAUACAUCACCCUCCUUGUGGGCUGCCAUUCAGCCAAGAGGAACAGAGAUUAGCCUUCAAUCACACGGGGGCUGGAGCCCAAGGAAACAUUCCUGAGGACACGCUGGAGAAACAUUUUCAUUAGCAGAGGAGAACCUGACAGAGAUGAAGUGCCCCUUCACCUCGACUGCCGGACCUCUCCCCUGCAUGGCGUUAACAGGACGAGGAGAUGCUAACCGAGGAGCUGGUGCCAGCUGAGUGCUGUCUGCAUCCAGAUGUGAGGAACAGCUGGGACACAGUGAAGCAGUGCUUUUAUAGCCUGGUAGGGGUGGCUUUGGUUUUUCUCCUGCCUAUCAACAAGCACUCACCGCUGGAAGCAAACUGGCCCUGUCCAUGCUGUCAAUCGAAUGGAGGAAAUGGAAAUGAAGAGGAUACAACAGACAUCAAAAUGAAAUUCUCCUCAGAGUUGCCCAGAAGGAUGGAAAACCGCAAGGAACAACUACUCCAUGGCUCUGGAAAAGGAAGAUCUACUUGCUUAGUAACCUGAUUGUGGGGUACUCGUUCUGCUUCACGCAGAGGCUGGAAGCCAGGGGAGGUUUUGGGUUACAAAGAGGGCUGGGCAGAGUUUGCUGCCUUCUCCAUUCCUUUCCCGUAUCACUGUCAACUUAGAUUGCACAUCAAGAGGGUGAUGUUAUGGCUGGCGGUGACAAUAGCAGAAUGUCACUGGCAGAGGUGAAAUCUUUCCCUCCGUGAGGGUACUUCUUCCUUUCCUCUUCCCUUGGCUUACAUCAAGAACCUCUGGCUUCCAGUGCCAAGUGGGCCAUGCGUGGGUGCUGCCCGAGGGACAGGGGUGUCUACUGUGCUGAGCAUGGCUUUUCCUUGCUGUGUCGGUGAGCAGCUCUGUGUCACUGCUGCCUCUUUGCUCUGUGGUGACCGGGGACAGAGAGCAAACCCUUGUCACUGUCUGAGACAAACUGGGGCCGUUGGGAGCUGCUGUGUUUGCCAUCAUGGGGAGCAUUGCAUGGAGUGGUCCUUUGUCAUACUGGCACCCUUACGCCAGCAGGACAUCUGCCAGAGAUGUCUCUUCAGAGCCCUGGGGGCCAGGCCUGAGCUAAGUCAGGGUCUGAGGGGCAGACAAACGUGUAAAUAGUUAAUGCUCUCCGCAGGCUGUCUCUCACCUCCUCUAAGCAGGAGCUAAUCUG
rnacentral:lncRNA from 1 species